UAAUGUAUCGGAACGUGCCCAGUCGUGGGGGGUAACUGCUCGAAAGAGCAGCUAAUACCGCAUACGACCUGAGGGUGAAAGCGGGGGAUCGCAAGACCUCGCGCGAUUGGAGCGGCCGAUAUCAGAUUAGGUAGUUGGUGAGGUAAAGGCUCACCAAGCCGACGAUCUGUAGCUGGUCUGAGAGGACGACCAGCCACACUGGGACUGAGACACGGCCCAG
rnacentral:rRNA from 1 species